GAUGAACGCUGGCGGCGUGCCUAAUACAUGCAAGUCGAGCGAACAGACGAGGAGCUUGCUCCUCUGACGUUAGCGGCGGACGGGUGAGUAACACGUGGAUAACCUACCUAUAAGACUGGGAUAACUUCGGGAAACCGGAGCUAAUACCGGAUAAUAUAUUGAACCGCAUGGUUCAAUAGUGAAAGACGGUUUUGCUGUCACUUAUAGAUGGAUCCGCGCCGCAUUAGCUAGUUGGUAAGGUAACGGCUUACCAAGGCAACGCUGCGUAGCCGACAUGAGAGGAUGGUCCGCCACACUGGAGGGGAGAAACGGUCGUGACUACUACAGGAGGAAGCAGUUGCGAAUCUUCGGCAAUAGGCGAAAGCCUAACGCAGCAACGACGCGUGAGUGAUGAAGGUCUACGACUCCUAAAACUCUGUUAUUAGGGAAGAACAAAUGUGUAAGUAACUAUGCACGUCUUGACGGUACCUAAUCAGAAAGCCACGGCUAACUACGUG
rnacentral:rRNA from 1 species